rnacentral:misc_RNA from 1 species
AACGGUCGGCAGGCGAUCCCCCUCGGUCUCGCGAGGUGGUAUGGUUCCCCAGAGGCCGGUUCUUGUGCUGCCUACCCCUUCAGGGGAAGCUGGCCGCUCGAUGCAAGCCUCCAUCCGGCGCCUUCCAACGGGCGCAGGAGGACAACGGAGCACCCCCCGCGUUCCACCGAUCCAUCUCGGUCGCGUGGCCCGCGGGGACGUGCGAUGCUCUCGGACCCAGCGAACGCCGUGGGCGAGGACUCACGUCCCAGUCCCGAAAUGAAAGCUCCGAUAUAGUGCAUGACGGCCGCCCCCGCCCCCCGACCGCCCCGGCGGCGCGGGGGCGAGGCGCGGCGUCGCGGAGGAAUGCUACCUGG